rnacentral:rRNA from 1 species
AUGGGGAGGAGGAUGCGGCAAGCCAUUGCCGCGCUGGGCGUCGCGUGCGCGGCCGCCUUCGCCGUCGCCGUCGCCGCCGCUGACCGUGGGCUCUCGCUGCCCAGCGACCGCGCCGUGGUGGCGGCGCCGGAGGAGAUCAGCCUCCUCAACAAGAUUGCCAAUUUCAUGUGGCAGACCGACAGGAACUCGUACCAGCAUGUUUGGCCGCCGAUGGAAUUCGGAUGGAAAAUGGUGCUGGGGUCGCUGAUCGGAUUCUUUGGCGCGUCAUUUGGGAGCGUCGGGGGCGUUGGUGGCGGCGGGAUCUUUGUGCCGAUGUUGACAUUGAUCAUCGGUUUCGAUCCAAAGUCUUCAACUGCCAUAUCCAAGUGUAUGAUCACUGGUGCAGCUAUCUCAACUGUGUACUACAAUCUCAAGCUGAAACAUCCGACUUUGGACAUGCCGGUGAUCGACUAUGACCUAGCACUGCUCAUCCAGCCUAUGCUAAUGCUCGGGAUUAGCAUCGGUGUUAUUUUCAAUGUUAUAUUCCCUGACUGGCUGGUCACAGUUCUCUUGAUAAUCCUUUUCCUAGGCACAUCAACUAAAGCUUUCCUGAAGGGUGUUGAGACAUGGAAAAAGGAGACAAUAAUCAAAAGGGAAGCUGAGAAACGAUUGGAGCAAACCAGCGAGGAACCGGAGUAUGCACCACUCUCUACAGGACCAGGUGCCGCAGCUGAUGUCAAACCCCAUUCAGAUGAAGCGCCAUCACUUAUGAAGAACAUUUACUGGAAGGAGUUUGGUCUUCUCACAUUUGUGUGGCUAGCAUUCCUUGCUAUUCAGAUAACAAAGAAUUAUGCUCCUACUUGCUCCACGUGGUACUGGGUCUUGAACUUUCUCCAGAUCCCGGUCUCUGUAGGAGUGACUAUGUACGAAGCACUGGGUCUGAUGAACGGGAAGAGGGUGCUAUCAUCAAAGGGAAAUGAGCAAACUACCCUGAAAUUUCAUCAGCUCUGCAUAUACUGCUUCUUCGGUGUCACUGCAGGGCUCGUCGGCGGUCUGCUAGGUUUGGGAGGUGGUUUCAUCAUGGGACCACUGUUUUUGGAGCUCGGCAUCCCUCCCCAGGUUUCAAGUGCUACCGCCACGUUUGCAAUGAUGUUCUCUGCUUCUAUGUCUGUCGUGGAAUACUACCUCUUGAACCGGUUUCCAGUUCCUUAUGCUGCUUACUUUGUUGCUGUGGCGUUCGUUGCUGCCAUUAUUGGGCAGCAUGUAGUCAGGAGGUUGAUCAGUUGGUUAGGGCGGGCAUCACUCAUCAUCUUCAUACUGGCUUUCAUGAUCUUCAUCAGCGCAAUUUCUCUUGGUGGGGUCGGUAUCUCCAACAUGAUUCACAAGAUGGAGCAACAUGAGUACAUGGGGUUUGAGAACCUCUGCAAAUAUGAUGCAUAG